AAGCGGGAAGAGCUCAAAUUUAAAAUCUGGCAGUCUUUGAUUGUCCGAAUUGUAAUCUAGAGAAGCGUUUUCCGUGCUGGACUGUGUACAAGUUUCCUGGAUACGGAACAUCAUAGAGGGUGAGAAUCCCGUCCUUGACACAGACUCCCAGCACUUUUGUGAUGCGCUCUCGACGAGUCGAGUUGUUUGGGAUUGCAGCUCAAAAUGGGAGGUAAAUUCCUUCUAAAGCUAAAUAUUGGCGAGAGACCGAUAGCGAACAAGUACCGUGAGGGAAAGAUGAAAAGCACUUUGGAAAGAGAGUUAAACAGUACGUGAAAUUGUUAAAAGGGAAACGCUUGAAGUCAGUCGCGUUUGCUUGGACUCAGCCUCACUUCGGUUUGGUGCAUUUCCUUGCAGACGGGCCAGCGUCCAUGUUGUUUGCCGGAAAAGGGGUGAAAUAAUGUGGCUCCUUUGGGAGUGUUAUAGAUUUUGCUCGUAUGCGGGGAAUAAUAUGGAGUGGUACAGCAUGCUUCGGUGGUGCUUGUGCUGGCAUAAUGGCUUUAAACGACCCGUCUUGAAACACGGACCAAGGAGUCUAACAUAUCUGCGAGUGUUUGGGUGGAAAACCCGAGCGCAUAAUGAAAGUGAUAGCUGGGAACCCCUUUUGGGAGGCACCGGCGCCCCGAGCUGACCUUCUGUGACGCAUCGGAGGCAGAGCAUAUAUGUUGGGACCCGAAAGAUGGUGAACUAUGCC
rnacentral:rRNA from 1 species